GACAGAGGUGCCGAGCGUUAGGCGGAAUCACUGGGCUUAAAGCGUGUGUAGGCGGAUUUUUAAGUACCUUGUGAAAUCUCACGGCUUAACCGUGGAACUGCUGGGUAUACUGGAUAUCUUGAGCCAACUAGGGGCUACCGGAACAAAUGGUGGAGCGGUGAAAUGCGUAGAUAUCAUUUGGAACGCCAAUGGUGAAAACAGGUAGCUGGGGUUGUGCUGACGCUGAGACACGAAAGCCAGGGGAGCGAACGGG
rnacentral:rRNA from 1 species